UACGUAGGGGGCUAGCGUUGUCCGGAUUUAUUGGGCGUAAAGAGCGUGUAGGCGGUUUGGUAGGUCCGCUGUGAAAACUCGAGGCUCAACCUCGAGACGCCGGUGGAAACCAUCAGACUAGAGUCCGGAAGAGGAGAGUGGAAUUCCUGGUGUAGCGGUGAAAUGCGCAGAUAUCGGGAAGAACACCUAUGGCGAAGGCAGCUCUCUGGGACGGUACUGACGCUGAGACGCGAAAGCGUGGGGAGCGAACAGG
rnacentral:rRNA from 1 species